AGCUCCGAGGAUGUAUAUUCGUGUUGUUGCGGUUAAAAAGCUCGUAGUUGGAUUUCUGUUCAGAAGCAUCCGCUCCUCCUUUUGGAUGGGUGCACGAUAUCUUCUGGACAUCUUUGCGGAGAACGAUGCUACUCUUGAAUGAGUGGUUCGGAAUCUGCAUCGGUUUACCUUGAGAAAAUUAGAGUGUUUCAAGCAGGCAUGUUUUUGAAUACAUUAGCAUGGAAUAACAAUAAGUUUCGGUUUUAUCUUGCUGGUACUUCGAACUGAGAUAAUGGUGAAUAGGGGCCGAUAGAGAUUAGCGGACUACUGGGUUAAAGGUGAAAUUUUUGGAAUUUGAGAUUACGUCCAAUCGCGAAAGCACUCAUCUGGUAUGUUUUCA
rnacentral:rRNA from 1 species